UAUUCUAUUAUAACACUUUGGGGACACUGGAUACAGGUAUCAUAUAAAUGUAAAGAGAAUCUGAUUUUUAGGAAGCCCUAUAUAAUGCAUUUUUAAAACAAAAGCAAUAAAGGUGGUUCUUAUGAAGAAAAGGGCAAAUCCACCAUGUCUGAGUAUGGAAUGCUAAAUAUAAUAUUGCAAGUCUAGGCUCUUGCUAAAGUUAGGAUAUCAAAGCUAAAAAUAGAAAUAUUACACUCUCUAUUUUGUCACCUCAAACUUUCUUUGAAGCCCGAUACUCUUGAUUUUAAGCUUCCCUUUCUUUUUUCCCCUACAUUAUACUCUUAAAAAAAAAAACACACAGCUUUAUUGAAACAUAAUUCACACAUCAUAGAAUUCACCCAUCUAAAGAGUACUAUUCAAAAGUUUUUAGGAUAUUCACAGAGUUGUGCAGCUAUUACCAUUAUCUAAUUUUCGAACAUUUUUAUCACCCCCAAAAGAAACCCAUACUCACUAACUGUCACUCCCCCAUUCCCUCCACCCCCAGGCCUGGGCAACCACUAAUCUACUUUCUGUCUCAUAGAUUUGUUUAUUCUGGACAUUUUACAGAAAUGGAUUCAUGUGGUCUUUUGUGACUGGCUUCC